AGAACGAACGCUGGCGGCGCGUUUAAGCAUGCAAGUCGAGCGGCAAGGGCCUUCGGGCCCCUAGAGCGGCGGACGGGUGAGUAACACGUGGACAAUCUGCCCCCCGGCCCGGGAUAGCCCAGGGAAACCUGGAUUAAUACCGGAUGAGACGGGACCCGCGAUGGCGGGAUCCGGGAAAGGCGCUGCGGCGCCGCCGGGGGAUGAGUCUGCGUCCCAUUAGCUAGACGGCGGGGUAACGGCCCACCGUGGCGACGAUGGGUAGCCGGCCUGAGAGGGUGGACGGCCACAUUGGAACUGAGACACGGUCCAGACUCCUACGGGAGGCAGCAGCUAAGAAUCUUCCGCAAUGGGCGAAAGCCUGACGGAGCGACGCCGCGUAGAACGAAGAAGGCCGUGAGGUUGUAAAGUUCUUUUCGGGAGGGAGAACAACCGUGGCAGGGAAUGGCCGCGGGAUGACGUGAAUCCCGGAAUAAGCCCCGGCUAACUACGUGCCAGCAGCAGC
rnacentral:rRNA from 1 species